GAUGAACGCUGGCGGCGUGCCUAAUACAUGCAAGUCGAGCGAACAGACGAGGAGCUUGCUCCUCUGACGUUAGCGGCGGACGGGUGAGUAACACGUGGAUAACCUACCUAUAAGUCGGGGAAAAUUUCGGGAAACCGGAUCAAAUACGGGAUAAUAUAUUGAACCGCAGGGUGCAAUGGUAAAUGACGGUUUUCCUGUCUGUAAUAGCUGCUUCCGCGCUGCAUUAGUUAGUUGGUAAGGUAACGGCUUACCAAGGCAACGAUGCGUAGCCGACCUGAGAGGGUGAUCGGCCACACUGGAACUGAGACACGGUCCAGACUCCUACGGGAGGCAGCAGUAGGGAAUCUUCCGCAAUGGGCGAAAGCCUGACGGAGCAACGCCGCGUGAGUGAUGAAGGUCUUCGGAUCGUAAAGCUCUGUUAUUAGGGAAGAACAAAUGUGUAAGUAACUAUGCACGUCUUGACGGUACCUAAUCAGAAAGCCACGGCUAACUACGUG
rnacentral:rRNA from 1 species